CAGCAUGAGCCACUGUGCCCGGCCUUAACGUUCAUUUUUCAACACGUAAAUUCAGGCAAGAUUAAUAGAAAGAAAAUGGGGUCCCAGAUUGCCUCACCCCAAGCCCAUCUUCUUUUGGCUUUUGGAGUAUGAAAAGGGAGACGUGCUGUGGUCUCCGCCUGAAGCUGGCUCGCCCGGGAGCCCUCCUGGACCCGUAAGGAGGAGAACAAACCCUGGCAAAUCCGACUGGCCCGAAGUGGAUUUGCUAGAGUGACAGGCAGCAAAAUUAAUUCAGUAAGGCAUUCGUAAGUGUAUCACUUCACAAAGGAGUCAAAACUGCAGGAAUCUGAACGCAAAGAUGCCAAGCAAAAGGACUGGGAGAAGACCUGCCUACUGUGUACAUUUGACUCUGUUUUGUGCCUUAAGAGUUAUGCGAGAGGCUGACUCUAAAGUAGUUAGAAUGGAGAACCCAGGGAGGCUUCCUUCAAGAUGAAGAGUGAGGAGGGAAAGCUGCCAGGAUGCAAGGCUGCUCUGGCGACAGGGUCUUCCCUUCUGCCCCUUAACCCUUUGUCUCUUUCUCUGUUGUCCAGUCCUCUACAAAUUGUCCAGCCCACUGCAGGGAGCCAGUCUGAUGGAUUCAAUACUUUGCCCCAUCGGAGGAAGUCCUCAUGGGCCACCCAUCAGCCAGUGGACCUAUUCUGGUCAAGUGUCCUCCCCUGAUCUCCAGUGACCUAGGUGGCACCCAGUCUGGCUUGCCUGGCCACCUCCCACCUCUGGUGGAGGGCAGGCAUCAUGCAUGUGUUUGGAAAAUACAUUUGAUUUUAGAGUUUAAUUCUGGACAGUGGUCUUGGGACUGUCUUCAAUAGCAAGGAUCAUGUGACCAAGUCCCCAUUUCUUUUCACAUUUCAGCUGCCUAAUUUACCCCUAAAAUGUACUCUGUGUGCUGGGUGGGGAAAUUCUGAACUGGCUUCUGAUUCUGGCUCUCACAUCAGGGGACCAGCCUUAAGACUUGGAGCAAGCCGCCACUUCUUAGGGUCCCAGUUUGCUGCCCUGUGGCACAGCAGGGUUAGGAGGGAGGAGCACAAGCUAACCUGCCAUCACCCCGUGGCUGAGUUGGGAUUUUGAACUGCUGUUGUUAUACAUAAUAACUUCUAUGGCUUCGGGCACCGAGAGAGGGAGGCCCUAAUUCCUUUACCAGAACUCGAACACUUGUGUACAUAAUAACAUUUUUAGGAAUCUAUGUUCAUAGCUGGGGACAGAGUGGCAGAAUGGUGAAGUGUUCCCACUGGUGUCACACCCAUCUCAGCAAGAAUCAGCCUUUGUCACAGACCUGCUCCGUGACCUCGGGAAGAUGAUCUGACCUCUCGACACCUGGUUUUCCUCCUCUGGGAAGUGGGGAUAUUAAUAGGUCCUCCCCACCAGCUUAUUGGAGGAGUAAGAGGCAACACAUGCAAAGCACUUAACCAGGAGCCCGGGUAGGGACCUGGCUGUGAGUUCAGAGCCUGGGAUUUGUGGGAUGGCCAGUGUAUGCACUUCCAGUGACUGCUGGCAUUACCACAAUCCUUGGUAGCUUAACACAACAGAAAUCUACUCUCUCACAGUUCUAGAGGCCAGAAGUCUAAACUCCAUACUGCUCAGCUGUGCACUGGCUGCGGGCUCCAGGGGAGAAUCUGUUCCUGGUCUCUUCCAGCUUCUGGUGGCCAGCCGCAUUCCUUGGCUCGUGGCUGCAUCGCUCCAGUCUUCAAGAGAUACCUGCAUUGGCCAGAUGCAGUGGCUCACACCUGUAAUCCCAGUGCUUUGGGAGGCAGAGGUGGGAGGAUCACUUGGGCCAGGAAUUGAAGAUUAUGCUGGGCAACAUAGUAAGACCCCGUCUCUACAAAAUAAAAAGAAAACAACUGUA